AUUGAACGCUGGCGGAAUGCUUUACACAUGCAAGUCGAACGGCAGCACGGACUUCGGUCUGGUGGCGAGUGGCGAACGGGUGAGUAAUGUAUCGGAACGUGCCCAGUCGUGGGGGAUAACGUAGUGAAAAUUACGCUAAUACCGCAUACGAUCUAUGGAUGAAAGCGGGGGAUCGCAAGGACUCGCGUGAUUGGAGCGGCCGAUAUCAGAUUAGGUAGUUGGUGGGGUAAAGGCCCGACAAGCCAACGAUCUGUAGCUGGUCUGAGAGGACGACCAGCCACACUGGAACUGAGACACGGUCCAGACUCCUACGGGAGGCAGCAGUGGGGAAUUUUGGACAAUGGGCGAAAGCCUGAUCCAGCCAUUCCGCGUGCAGGAUGAAGGCCCUCGGGUUGUAAACUGCUUUUGUACAGAACGAAAAGGUUUCUACUAAUACUAGGAGCUCAUGACGGUACUGUAAGAAUAAGCACCGGCUAACUACGUGCCAGCAGCCGCCGUAA
rnacentral:rRNA from 1 species